UACGUAGGGGGCAAGCGUUGUCCGGAUUCAUUGGGCGUAAAGAGCGUGUAGGCGGCCAGGUAGGUCCGCUGUGAAAACUCGAGGCUCAACCUCGAGAUGUCGGCGGAAACCAUCUGGCUAGAGUCCGGAAGAGGAGAGUGGAAUUUACGGUGUAGCGGUGAAAUGCGUAGAUAUCGUAAGGAAGACCAGUGGCGAAGGCGGGUCUCUGGACAGUUCCGUGACGCUGAGGCACGAAGGUCAGGGGAGCAAACGGG
rnacentral:rRNA from 1 species